AUCCGGCUGACGAAUCCCAAAUAGGACGAGAUGCGCCUCCUGGAU
rnacentral:hammerhead_ribozyme from 1 species